rnacentral:rRNA from 1 species
AUCAUAUGCAUCAUUCGGACCGCAAAACUUUUGAAAGGCGGCACCUCUUUCAAGUAACUGCCCUAUCACGUUGUCGGUAGUGUAUUGGACUACCGAGCGGACGACCGGUUAACGGGGAAUUAGAGUUCGAUUCCGGAGAAAGAGCAUGAGACACGGCUAUUACAUCCAAGGAAGGCAGCAGGCGCGCAAAUUACCCAAUGGCCAUAUGGCUGAGGUAGUGACAGUACGUAGCAAUGGGGCGGAUGAGCAAUCUGACCUAAUUGAAAUGAGAAAAAACUAAAGCACUGAAUAGAGGAACGAUUGGAGGGCAAGUCUGGUGCCAGCAGCCGCGGUAAUUCCAGCUCCACGAGCGUAUAUUAGAGUUGUUGCAGUUAAAACGUGCGUAGUCGAAGCUGAGGGGUGCCGCAGCUUAGAACCCGUUCCUUUGGGGCGGGCCUCACUGUGGUGUUCCCCUUAUUCACCCGCCUGCCGACGGCUGCCGGCCUCUGGCUGGUUCGCUUUCCCUUACAGGGUGGGCGGCGGGUGAUUUACCUCGAACAAAUGAGCGCGCUUGAGGUAGGCAGAAUGUUGCCCGAAUCAAUUAGCAUGGAAUAGCAGAUGGACAGCGAUGUCUGUUUGUUGGUUUGAGACGUUGCUGUAAUGAUUAAUAGGGGUACUCGGGGCCAACCGUACUCUGGGGAUAGAGGUGAAAUUCUAUGACCCCCAGAAGACGACCGAAUGCGAAAGCAGUUGGCAAGGGUAUCUUCAUUGAUCAAGCACGAAGGGUGGGGGAGCAAAGCCGAUUAGACACCGUUGUAGUCCCACCAGUAAACGAUGCCGACGCGACCUUGGGUGUCUGAGGACACAGUGUUCGGGGGCGUAUAGAAAUUAGAGUCUUUGGGCUCUGGGGGGAGUAUAGUCGCAAGUCUGAAACUUAAAAGGAAUUGACGGAAGGGCACAACCAGGCGUGGAGCCUGCGGCUUAAUUUGACUCAACACGGGGAAACUCACCCAGGUCAGGACAUGAUUAGGAUUGACAGAUUAAUUGGCCUUUCAUAAUCUCAUGGGUGGUGGUGCAUGGCCGUUCUUAGUUCGUGGAUUGAUCUGUCUGGUUGAUUCCGAUAACGAGCGAGACCGGGUCCGGAGGUUGGUGCUGAUCCCUCAUUCACUUUGUGAUCUUUGAGGGUCGCGCGCUCCUCAGGGACAGGCAUCCACAUUAGGAUGUGGAGGCACCCGGCAAUAACAGGUCUGUGAUGCCCUUAGAUGUCCUGGGCCGCACGCGCGCUACACUGAUGCGACCAGUAGGCCAUACCUAUCCCGAGAGGGCUGGGUAAUCCAUUGAGAUCGUAUCGUGCUGGGGAUCGAGCACUGGAAAGCGCUCGUGAACACGGAAUGCCUUGUAAUCGUGGGUCACUAACCCGCGAUGAAUACGUCCCUGCCCUUUGUACACACCGCCCGUCGCUACUACCGAUCGAAUGACUUGGUGAGAUGGCAGGAGCAAUGGGGACUUUGGUUUCGCCCAUCGUCUCUGGAGCGAACGCCCUCAAACUCGGUCAUUUAGAGGAAGUACAAGUCGUAACAAGGUUUCCGUAGGUGAACCUGCGGAAGGAUCAUAGUUAUGGAGAGGACCGCCCUCGGGCGCCUCGUCUACAUUACGGAUGCAAUGCCUUGACUGGCUAUAGCGGYGCCGCAGCGAUGCGCCCGCGCAACCUUUUUGAAAGUCUAUACUUUAUGCCUACGAUAUACAAUAUACGAGUAUACAACUCAUAGCGUUGGAUCCCUUGGCAUGCCAUUCGAUGAAGACCGUUGCAAAAUGCGAUAAGUGGUGUGAUAUGCAAGUCCAAAACUUAUACGUGAAUCAUCGAAUUGUUGAACGCACUGCAUCGAUCCUUAUCCAGGAACGAUACGCCCUAUUGAGCGUCAUUAUGUCUUCGCGGCCUCGUCUUCAUCGACGUUGCCCGGGUUCGGGACCCACGGCCUCGCGGCCGCGUCUCCUCAGAUGCAUUUGCGGCGCGAGACUGUACACUUGCGUCCUUGUCAUGAGUGUCGAGGUACGAGAGUGACGAGACUUGCGCUGGAUCGCCGUCCGCGGCGCAUCAGACCCCGCCUUCGGGCGACCCUACCGACAUGACCUCACGGGGGUGGGACGACCCGCUAGACUUAAGCAUAUUAAUCAGCGGAGGARAAGAAACUAACAAGGAUUUCCCUAGUAACUGCGAGUGAAGAGGAAUGAGCUCAAUGUGUGAAUCGGCUUGGGAAUAACCCCCGGAUCGAGUUGUGCACUAUAGACGGCGGAUCAGCGUUUGGACGGUUCGGGUGUAUGUCCGAUCGAAUUCGGUGCCAUAGAGGGUGAAAGUCCUGUACUUGCCCGUUAACCGUCUGCGCAAUUGACCGACGUUCUGCGAGUCGCGUAGUUUUGUAUUGCUGCGCUAAUUGGGAGGUAGAGCCCUUCUAAAGCUAAAUAUUAUGGCAUGACCGAUAGCAUAUCAAGUACCGCGAGGGAAAGGUGCAAAGCAAAUAUGUAAAAUAUGUUGAAACAGUAGUGAAAGCGCUAUGGGGAUAAGGGCUGGGGAUUGCUCGUGCCGAUCGCCCGUGCUUUAGUGCUGGGCUUCCGGACGGCGUGCGGCGGUUCGGAUGGAGAGAACAGGCCACUUGGAAUUCGGCUGGGUCCGCCCAGUGUUGUAGCCUUGUGCGCAGCGGAGCUCCUCUCGGACCGUUGAGCGUCUUGCGAUUGUCAGCCGCCCGUCUUGAAACACGGACCAAGGAGUGCACAUUGCAUGCGAGUCGGAGGGAUUGGAAUCCCCGAGGCGUAGGGAAACCAAAGGCCGCGAACCCGUAAGGCGUCGGCGGCGCCCGCCCUGUGCGAGGCAGAGCAUGUAGGGUGCGACCCGAAAGAUGUGUGAGCUAUGCCCGGUGAAGGUGAAGCCAGUGGAAACGCUGGUGGAGGCCUGUAGCGGUUCUGACGUGCAGAUCGAUCGUGUCAUCUGGGUAUAGGGGCGAAAGACCUAUCGAACCGUCUAAUGGCUGGUUCCCCCCGAAGUUUCCCUCAGGAUAGCUGUGUCCCUUCUGUCAGUUGCACGCGGUAGAGCGAAUGAUUAGGUGUCUCGGGGCUCUAGUUGCCUCGGCUCAUUCUCAAACUGCGAAUUGUGUGCGCACCGCGGGUGACCUAACGGCACCCCGGGCGA